UAAGAAGGAAGUUGGGGUAGGGGGGUGAGGGUGGAAUUAAAUCUGGCAAAUUUCAUCCAAUGGAGAACAGGGGGGUUAAAGAGGAAACUACCAAGGGAGUUUGUGCUGGAGCAGAGUAUGUGGGGUAUCCUGACUUUCCGUAUCUGCCCUUCAUUCAGUCUUCUUUAUUUUGUGCUCACUAUUCACCAAGCUUUGUUCCAACUGCAGGGGGCACAAAAAGGACAAAGACAGGGACAGCCUGGUGGGGGAGAAAACCAAGACAUCCUGUGGGAACCGGGACGAGUCACUGGGCUGCUUUGCUUAUUGGCUGCUUCUGGCCUUGGCUUCCUGUUCUCAACAGCAGAGCUGAGGAAAUCCGCAGGAUGCUUGCUACCAGGGGACGAGAUGACUCAGGAGGAAACACUCCACCUAAAAUAGUCUUGGUGUGCAGCCUCUGAGUCACUUUGGAAUCAAAGUCAAUGUGUGAUACUGGAAUUAAUCCCACAGGUGAUGGGAAGUGAAGAAGAAGGAAGCAUCUGAAAGAAGUUUAUCCAAAAGAAAAGUUUGCCACGACGAUGAAAAUUGAACUGCAGUAAAGGUUACUAUUCAGGGAGAAAUUUCAUCCUGGAAGUUCAAAGUGGAUGAAUUGAGAUUUUCGCCAGUGACCGUGGGCAUGAAGUGUUCAUGGAGGCCAAAUCUAGGGACCCACCGGAAGUGGGUAUUUCCUUAAAAACACAUUAGGAAAGCAGCAGGACAGCUGUGUAAACAGAAAUGGAUCAUUGGGUUGAAGCAGCCUUGAUUUUUGUCUCUAUAAUUCUUUCUCAAGAAUUAUCUGGCCAAAAUGUUUAUGGUGCUGCUAGAGUCUUCGUUUAUUUCUAAUUCAUGGUAAACAUCUAGUGUUUUACCUACUGAGAGAGGGGAAGGAGUACACAAUUCAUACUCAAACAAUAUUCUGUAUUUGGAAAAGCCUUUCAAACCUUUGUCUUUCCUGCCCUUUGCCCUCUUCAUCCUGGCUCUAGCUCUCAGAGUCCACUCAUUUAUUACAGCUCUUCCCAAUGAGGGGCCAAGGAACUGUAUUCCAUCACUUAUUCUUUAAACGUGCAUUGAGCGAUUACCAUCUAGCAGGAAGGCAAAACAUUUUUGCCCUCAAGAUGCUUAGAAUCUAACUGGGGAAAUAGAAAAGGUCACACUUGAUCUUAACCAAAAGGCCAAGAAGCAAUUGGAUAUAGAAAAGUUCAACAACAGGUUGAAGUUGUUCAACAAAAUGUCAAAUAUCCAAUAGAUUAAAGCGUAAGCUUCUUGAAAUUAAAGCAAGGCACAGGGAACUUGAAUGAAGCUGGGGGUUCAUGGGAGAUUUCUUGGAAGGGCAGGGACACAACUGAGUCAGAAAGGUGAAGAAGCUGGUAGUGGGGCAAAGCGUGACUCAAUCAAAGUUAAACAUUCACUGGUAGAUAAAUGCAAAGUAUGAAGCUUGAUUGGAUCUUGGCUUGGAAAACGAGGUGAAGCGUAUUUU
rnacentral:lncRNA from 1 species